rnacentral:lncRNA from 1 species
CAGGUGCAGGUGAAGGUGAUGCAGCUCAUGGUGGACGUGCUGGAGCAAACGAAAGAUUGAUUGAUUAGCCAUUCUUGAUUCAUUAUUUAAUUAUUGAUUAGGCUUAAUUAAUCAUCAGAGGUGUAAUACAUAUACAAAGCGUAUUAUUUGCGCUGUAUACGUGUACGGAUUUUUUUCUUUUGUUUUUUUGUUCUCUUUUUUUUUCCUUUGUUUCGUGUUUUUGACACGUAUAAAAUAGGGGUUAUUUUAUACGGGACCUGGCUAUUUAAUUUGUUUGUUGAUUGUGUCGGUGUGUAUGUACAUACGUAUAGUAGUAUGUAUGUGUAUAUGUGCUACGGUUGUAUAUACAUGAGUAUACAUUAGUUUUAUAUGUAUACAUUAAUACAUACAUGUACAUAUGCGGUGGUAAUGUCAUCUUUAAUUUGGUGUUAAUUACUUGAGUAUUAUUGGUGCAUAUUCAAAGCUUUACUCUUCUCUCUCUAUGGGUACAAAAGAAUAACCAGCCAUAAAUCCACAUGUGUCCAGGUUACUUAAAUUAGAAUGGGCAGAUUAUAUAUUAAAAAAAAACUACCCAAAAGAAUAAUGAUAAAAGAUGCCUUGUUUUUAUCUGGAUUAUUUGCUUCAAGCUUCAAAAAAAUAUGUUUUCUUUAAAUAUUUUCUAUUAAUGCAUUUGUUUUGGACGUGAUUAUACUGUUGCACAGUUUUCUUCUACUGGAUUGUUGUGAUAAAAUCAAUUGUAUACCCACCACGAUCUAACAAUGUUUUUAUUUUUCUUCAAACACGUGCUAAUUUAUACAUUGCUCCAAAUUUAAGGACCGGUCGUAUACUUUACUCUAUGGGCGGAGCUUCUUUCUUAAUUUAGUCAACUUUUGAUCAAGUUUAAGCUAAUGUGUGUGUCUAAGUUUAUAUUGAGGGAGGUGUACACAUGAUGAAAAAUGGUGAGUUAUAACUAAAAAAAUUUCUUCAACAGGUUCCUAAGCACCCCCUCCCACACUCCCUCCCAUACACUACCUCCGCCCCUGCUAUUAUAUAUGAUGAUAAAUUUGGGAAGAAAGGAAUAACAAUUAGUAAGGUAACAAAUCAAACAUAUUCUAACCAAUACGACCUUACUAAACAUUGAUAAUACAAGAAGUUUCUAAUCUUAAAAAUUUUAUCAAGAUUUGACAAGGUUUCAAACUAAACGCAAUAACCAAUUUACCAAAAUUUGAUUGAGCCAAAAAUUAUCAUUAUUAAAAUUUGGUAAUGUUGAAAAUAUACUAUUAUAAAAAUUGAAGAUACUGCUGAUACUUUGGUACGUCGUCCGUAUCUGAGUAUGUUUUUAAAUUCGUUUGCUUUUGAAAAUACAUAAGGAGUCGUAUAAGAAAUCCUUUUAAAAACAUCACAUGCUAAUUUGGGACGAAAGUUAGACUCCUAAUUGUUUUAUGACUCUCGCCAAACCAUAAAAAAACGACAUUAUUAUCAUCAUCCCAAUAAGGAACUACUUCAUCUGUUUCACAAUGUAAAUCAUUUUAGCAUUUCCCAUAUUUAAAUUGAUGUUAAUAAAUCCAAACAUAUAUAUCUAUCUAUAUUCAUUAACAUCAAUAUGAAUGUAGGAAAUGUUAAAAUGAUUUACAUUGUGAAACGGAUGAAGUAGUAUUAAAAUAAAAAUCUCGUAUAUAGUUUCUAGAAAAAAAAACAAUAAUAAGAUUAAAAUAACCCUGCAACGCACGGUAUUUUUUUUCAAAAACCCUAAAAUUACCUAGCGGCGGCGAUCUGGGCGGCGGGGGGCGGCCAUGCCCCCCAAACCGAGGAGAUCGGUGGCGGCAUUGACCGUAGGCGGCCACGACGCUCCCAAAUCGUCGCCGGCGAUGUCGACCCGGUCCAAAUCAACGCCGGAUUCCGAUCUCCGCUCGCACGACGGCAGCAAUCCCAGUCCCGAAUCGUGGUCCGGGAGGUUGACUCGCUCCAGAGCAAAGCAGAUUGGACUGGUUCUUCCGAUUCAGGCGGUGGAAUCGCCGGGAAUCUCUUCCAACAACAAGAAGAAGAGGAAGAGGAGAGAGAUUGAGGAGGAGACGGCGAAGAAGCAGGCGCAGAUGUCGGCGGCGGCGGCGGCAGGUGUGAUACACAGGGAGGGGCAUGGCACAUUGGCGUCCCGGCCACUCCCGCCGAUGCACCCGCAGACGACACCCCGCGUCAGAAGAAGCUCCCGGAUCACCCGGCUCGAAGGUGGUUUCAGCUUUCGAUCCACCACUGUUUCUUGUUCAAUUUCUUUUUUGUAUACCUAUCAUUAUUAACCAUGUUAAUUUCUCCCCAUUUCUUGUUCUUCAGUUGAUCGACUUCAGAAGUUAACUCUCCGGCGCGAUAAAGAAGACGAGCCCUCCACCGCGGCCGCCUUGCCUACCCCAUCUCACAAGAACAUGGUGUUGGGCAUGUCUCGCUCAAUUGUCCGCGUUUCAUUCCCAUCUUCUGGUAAUUUACUCCAUCCGUCCCAAAAUAUGGCAACCUAGUUUGGAGUAUGGACACAUCGUAGUACGAGUUUGGAGGCAUGUUCAGAUUUUACUGGCUGAAUCUACUAUAUUUGCUGCAGCUAUAAGCUACUAAGUGAGCCAUGUGCUAGCAUGUCGCGUGUCGUUAAUUGCGUUGUUUUACGCAUUCCCUACCUAGCAUUACAUGAGAAAAUCAUGCUGCAUCUCCACAUGGGAAUUACCGUGGAUUUUGUGCUGAACUAGUUAUUGAUCAAGCUUAACUAGCUGCCGAUGCUUAGGGAAAAGCCGGUGACAUAGAAGAAAGCUACCGAGAUAGGCAUGUGUAGUCCAGCAACAAAUGGGAAAAUGUGUCGCAGAGAGAAAAUAUGUUUAGUAUUCAGUAGCCCGAUAUAAAAAUAUGUAUUUAUCAGCUCCUAGCAAUGUAGCUACCUUCUAAUCAACUGUAUGUUUUUCAGAGGGCAAAUUGAUCUCUCCGCACACCGGAAUCGUCAUCAGUUGGGAUGGAGCCACCAAGUGUGCUAUGAUCCUCACACUCUUCACUUACUUCAAGAAGAAGCCGCAUGAGCCCCAACCCGAGGUGCAUGACCGAUUUCCAUUAGCUAAUCCCCAUGUUUCUAUCAUCCGAGUUCCAUUGCCAUUUUUGUUAAGUAUAGUAUGGUCAAAUGAUUGCUAACUGUAGCUGGGCUGCUGUGCAUUUGCUUUGUGUGAACUUUACUCUGCCCUCUGAUUUCAAUUCUCAAACAUUAUCAUUGUCAAAUUGAUGUCCUUUUCUUGUAUAUCCUUAGUAUUAGUUCCGUCUCUUUGUGCUUAAGAUAAGUAACAAUACACCAUUAACCUUUCUUUUUCUCGCAUUGCCUUCUCUCUCUAUCUUCCAGCUACAGGUUCAUCUCCCAGAUAAGUCUAUUGUGCAGGGACGGUUGAGAUUCAUGAAUCGCCACUACAAUCUCUCCAUCUUGGAGAUCACGUCUGAACUACCAUUGUAGGUCCCCGCUUUUGGGUCCGCCCCAAAGUAUGGCCAGGAAAUUCUUGCCUUGUCUCGGGACGAAAAUAUGUCCCUGGUGGCGAGGCGUGGAGCAAUCACGUGGUCGGAUGGUUCUUUGAUGUGGAGAAACCAUUACAUGUUUGUGGAUUGUGAUGUUCCUGAGGUACUGAUACAUUUACCUUUUCUUCACACUUGCUAUUUAUUUUACCAUCUACAUAGUAGUAUUUAUUUAUUUAUUUAUUUAUUUAAUGCAGGGUGGUGAAGGAGGGCCUGUGGUUGGCACUGGCGGUAGUACCAUUGGCAUGGUAUACAUAGACGGCCCUGGUGCAGUUAUCAUUUCAAUCUCAAUUAUUUGCACCUUCUUUGAGAUAUGGAAGCAAUUCAGGUAUAUAAUAUUUUUCCAUCAGUUUUGAAUUUCUUUAUUCUGUCAGUAUUAAAAUAUACUGCAGGUUGAAUCAAAAUCGUAGAAAGUAACUUCUUUGUGAUAACAUCAUAUGUCUAAGAUCCAAAAAGAUGGUAUGAAGGAUUUACAUUGCUACCAUUUGUGACGCCCCACACUUUUAUCACUAAAGAUAAAUGUGCGAGAACAUAGAUUAUUAUUUAACAACCAUUAUUUUGCCAAAUAAUAAUCCACCAUCAGAGAUCGCAACAGAGGAAUAGUUAGAGCUACCUUUAAUUCGUCCCUAGGAGUAUUAAGGCCAUCUCUAAUCCAGCUCACUCUUGCAAGGGAUCAAACCUGUACAAAGGGGGUUAUAUAGCAAGGGUGAGCACUUUCGUACUCAGCAAGUCAUUAGUAGCAAAAUGUACACGCAUGAAUAAUAAUAUAUAACUCUAUAUACUACAAUACUAUACCUUACGUAACAUCAUCACCUUCAUUGUCAUCAAAAGUAAAGUAUAUUUCUAUUUUGUAAAAGAGUUUUCAAAAGGAGAUUUAUAAAAGCUAGAGUACACUCGUACAUUGAAUAGAGUUUGUAGCAACUCCCCGUAGACUCCAAUCCAGGAGACAGGCGUGAAUCACGAUUUAAUUUAGCACUGCGCAGGCUUGUAUCACUGUACCCAUAGCUACUCUUAACAUGUUUGAUUGUCGCACUUCACUAGAUACGGCACCAUGCUAAGAGUACAUAACUUUUCCCCUACUUCAAUUUACUACACUCCACGUUUGUGUAGAGCCUAUCAGCUCUCCACACCACCGCGCUACUAUAUGCGCUUGGAAUGCACUUCAUCGGCAUUCAUGGGGUUUAUAUCAUCUCCCAUUCUACUACUACGUACCCAUGUGGAGUAUAAUAAACUUGAUAAGGUACUAGGUCCAGCCCAUCUUAAGACGGAUCUAUGGUUGACACGGUAUAUACGGUUCUCUGAUACGAAUGAUGGGGUGAUUAGUCCUUAUAUUUAUACACCGUAUGUAGGGAGAGCCCUGACCUGCCAUCAUCAUCAAUCAUCUCAUCCCUGAGCUCCCCCUACCCACCAUACUAGUAUCCCGAUGAUCUCCAUCAUCAUCGGCUUGUCAAUCAUAUCAUCAUCGUUCAUAUCAUUAUUCUAGAAAAUAUAUAUUGAUGCAAUACUAGGAGAAAUAUUUUUAUGAAAUAGGUUUUUAAGUUGAAAUAGAAUUAUCUCUAUCAACAUGAUCAAAUGAGAGGGACUUGCCUGAGUUUUCUGUGAUCGAAACUGAAAUAAUAUACUACUGCCAAUUGACACGUUCCAACUCUAGCUUCUUUCCUGAAAUUUGUUAUAUACGCUGAGGCUUCAAUAAAAUUUCAGCACAAGAAAUACAAAUGCUCUCCAAUUAAAAUGUGCUCUGCAGAGUUUAUUUUAUUGUGCCAGCUUUCUUAUGUUUAAUAGCUAAUUUAUCUAACUCUAAGCUUGAACUGCACAAUACUAUUCCGGUAGCAGGUUCAAUUUAAUGACUUGUGUAGUCUAGUAGUGUACAUCUAGCAAUUUAAUCCCCUUCCAUUCUCUCCUUCUCUCUCGAACAGAUAAGGCAGCAGCAGCAGUAAUUCCUCCGCUUCUUCUUCCUUGCUGCUGUUCCUAAGGCACUUCUCCCUUCCCCAACUAAAUCAUCCAAGCCAUGGCUACCGAUCUACCAUUGCUAGUGUGGAUCAGCUCUGCUGCGGCUACUGCUGUGGCGGUGGUGGUUGCUGCAGCUACGGCUGCGGCUGCGGGUGCUCUCUCUCUCUCCUUCUCUCAUCUCUCUGGCUCUAGCACUUGUGCAGUGAUGGGUGCAAUUUAGUGAUGGCCCUAAUGGUGAUUUGCAGGUGUAGGGGAACAGAUGCUUGGUUGCUAGGUGCUAAAAAAAAAAGGAAAGCCAAGUAUUGAGGGAUUCACCUUUGCCUAGGUGACAAGUUCGUCCAUGGUUGUGCUCCCGUGUUCAUCUUCGCCGAUGCAUUGGCCUUUCCUCUUCCUUGGGUAAAUCACAUUCCCUCCUUGCUGAUUUCUCUUCUCCUCUUCCUAGCCGACAUAGUGAUGGUAUGAGUAUUUGGCCAAGAACUAUUUGGCUACUAAUCAUAGGGGAUUCAAAAUUUGGUGCUUGCAAUGGAUGGGGCACAAUCUUGCAUUUCGCUGAUUUGUUGGCUAUUCCCUCACUCCCUACUUCUCUCCUCCUCCUCUCCUGAGCUGCUCACUCCUCACUAAUUGGUUGGAGCUCAUAUGCAUGCAUCUGCUGCCAUUGCUGUCGCCAUGCUUUGAGUGCUUGACCAAGGUGAGAUAGAGUCUUGACUAAGGUGGCUGAAGUUGUGCUACUAUCUUUGUGGUCUUGUGUGAAGCUUCCUAUGUGGAGCUAUGUGAUUGGUGGAAAAUUAAUACUUCUGGUGAAUUGAGGUCCCUUUGGUGAGAUUAAUUCUUUAUUUGAGAUGUGUGGCUUCUUUGUGUUAAUUAGCCGGAUGACGAACCCGACUUAAGUGAGGGGUGCCAGACGGUAUUAGCCGAUCUAGGUAUCUCGGUGAACGGUUGAAUAUACACCACUUUGUGUAUGGGUCUGACGGCAACAUUUAUUUACAUAUUACCUUUUGUGUAUAAAAGGGGUCAAGCUAUGUAUGUCCUGUGCAACCGUAUAUUUAAAUAUAUGCGGCUGUGUUCUUUGCCGUGAGUCCUCAACACAUCUCCCUCGUUUUCCGUGUGCACGCUUUUCAAACUGCUAAACGGUGUGUGUUUUGCAAAAAGUUUCUAUAGGAAAGUUGCUUUAAAAAAUCAUAUUAAUCCAUUUUUUAAAUUUUUUAUAGUUAAUACUUAAUUAAUAAUUCGUUAAUCUAUCUCUCCGUUUUGCGUGUGGAGAGGAGGGGUUCCCAACCCCUCCAAAAGAACACAGCCAGUGUACGUUUAUGUAUACAUGCUGACUGUUUAUAGUGAUGUUUGUUCGUAUAAUAUUUCCAUGUUAUUAUUAUUAGUAUAUUGUGGUGGUAUAUUGGACAUUAUUUAUUUGUUUUACUUCAACAGAUGUGAAUGUUAUAAAUUUUGAGUGGCUUAUUCUUGUUUCCAAAAAUUUUGCUAGUUAACUGAUUAAUUAAUGAUAUAUGUCACAUAAUUUUUAAUUUUUUUAAAUAGCUUAAAAUUCCGGGUUGUUUCACCAUUGAAAAAUCUUUGGAUUAAAACACUAUAUUACGUACAAGUCAAAUAGAAAAUUGAGAAAGCAUCUAAAUUUAUCUAUGAAUAAAACAAAAAACAGGGAACUAGAUGAGCAGAAGUAAGGGCAACACCAAUGUAUCUUGUUUAACUAGGUAAUAAGUAGCAGGGCUAAGUAGUAGGUCUUUGUAAAGUGGGUCCCAUGAGGAAAAAAAUAUUGCUUUUUAGUUGCUUUUUGUCCAACUCAGCAUGCAGUAGUAGCACAUCUUGUGUUGGAAGGAGAGAGUGAGAGAGAUUUUAAUGUUUUUUUAUUCUUAUGAGUGGGUCAUAAGCUUACUAUCUAGCAUUAGUUACUACCCACUUCCACAAUGCUUAUUACUAGAUCAUAGAAAUAUUAUAUUGCUUAAUACCUGCUUUUUCCUAACAUUGUGGAUGCCCUAAGUAGUAACUUGUAAUUUCACUGGAAAAUGAUAGAUAGAAAUUGGCAAUCGAAGACAUAUUUGUUUUAGGAUAUGUAUUUCCACCUGAUUACACAGAUUCUAUUCUGCACAUCUGAAACUAUCUAUAUAAUGGAAACAGCACUAACUUUUUAGAUGCCAUUUUCCCGUAAUAUUGUCUUCCGCAAUUUCUUGAAGUUAAAUGAUCUAUCUAGCAGACUAGCACGUAAACCCACUAAUCACGAUAUAUUCUUAUUAAUUGAACGUUUGUGGAUAAACCUUUUAUAUCUAUGGUAUUAGCGGUUUAAAAUCCAAUGUUGAAAAAAAUCUAUGAAAAAAAAACUAAAAUCAACUUAAAAUUAAGUUUUAAAAUUCAAUUUGCUAAAUAAUAAGCACAGGCUAUAAAGUGGUUGGCGCGCCAACAUGCGUGCUCAUUUUCUACUAAUAGACUAAAUCCAUCUUAUCUGUAGCGCUCAUUGUCUACUAAUAGACUAAAUCCAUCUUAUCUGUAGCUG